GUGGGGAAUCUUGCGCAAUGGGCGAAAGCCUGACGCAGCGACGCCGCGUGAGUGAUGAAGGCCUUCGGGUUGUAAAGCUCUGUGGGGAGAGACGAAUAAGUCGUAGCUAAUACCUCCGAUGAUGACGGUAUCUCCUUAGCAAGCACCGGCUAACUCUGUGCCAGCAGCCGCGGUAAGACAGAGGGUGCAAACGUUGUUCGGAAUUACUGGGCGUAAAGCGUGUGUAGGCGGCUAAGUAAGUCGGAUGUGAAAGCCCUGGGCUCAACCCAGGAAGUGCACUCGAUACUGCAUAGCUAGAGUACUGGAGAGGUUGGUGGAAUUCUCGGUGUAGAGGUGAAAUUCGUAGAUAUCGAGAGGAACACCGGUGGCGAAGGCGGCCAACUGGACAGAUACUGACGCUGAGACACGAAAGCGUGGGGAGCAAACAGGAUUAGAAACCCUUGUAGUCC
rnacentral:rRNA from 1 species